rnacentral:rRNA from 1 species
UCCGUAGGCGGGCGUCUAAGUCAGUGGUGAAACCUUACAGCUCAACUGUAAAAUUGCCAUUGAUACUGGAUGUCUUGAAUUAGUGUGAAGUGGUUAGAAUGUGUAGUGUAGCGGUGAAAUGCAUAGAUAUUACACAGAAUACCAAUUGCGAAGGCAGAUCACUAACACUAUAUUGACGCUGAGGGACGAAAGCGUGGGGAGCGAACAGGAUUAGAUACCCUGGUAGUCC